AUUGAACGCUGGCGGAAUGCUUUACACAUGCAAGUCGAGCGGCAGCGCGGGGCAACCUGGCGGCGAGCGGCGAACGGGUGAGUAAUGCAUCGGAACGUACCCCGUCGUGGGGGAGUAACUACCCGAAAGGGUAGCUAAUACCGCAUACGACCUGAGGGUGAAAGCGGGGGACCGAAAGGCCUCGCGCGAUGGGAGCGGCCGAUGCCGGAUUAGCUAGUUGGUAGGGUAAAGGCCUACCAAGGCGACGAUCCGUAGCUGGUCUGAGAGGACGACCAGCCACACUGGAACUGAGACACGGUCCAGACUCCUACGGGAGGCAGCAGUGGGGAAUUUUGGACAAUGGGCGAAAGCCUGAUCCAGCCAUUCCGCGUGAGUGAAGAAGGCC
rnacentral:rRNA from 1 species